AACGCUGGCGGCGCGCUUAACACAUGCAAGUCGAGCGAGAACCGGGACUUCGGUCCCGGGGACAGCGGCGAACGGGUGAGUAACACGUGGGUAAUCUGCCCUCGAUUCUGGGAUAGCCCGGGGAAACCCGGAUUAAUACCGGAUAGCCGUCACGGUCUAAGGACCGGGAAGAAAAGGUAGCUUCGGCCUCCGAUCGAGGAUGAGCUCGCGGUGGAUUAGCUUGUUGGCGGGGUAACGGGCCACCAAGGGGGCGAUCCAUAGCUGGUCAGAGAGGAGGACCAGCCCCACUGGGACUGGGAAACGGCCCAGACUCCUACGGGAGGCAGCAGUGGGGAAUCUUGCGCAAUGGGCGAAAGCCUGACGCAGCGACGCCGCGUGGGGGAAGAAGGCCUUCGGGUUGUAAACCUCUUUCAGGAGGGACGAAGCCACUCGGGUGAACAGCCCAGAGGGUGACGGUACCUCCAGAAGAAGCCCCGGCUAACUACGUGCCAGCCGCCGCCGUAA
rnacentral:rRNA from 1 species